UAGGGAAUAUUGCAAAAUGGGCGAAAGCCCGAUGCAGCAACGCCGCGUGGGCGAUGAAGGCCUUCGGGUCGUAAAGCCCUUUUUGAGGGGAUGAGGAAGGACAGUACCCUCAGAAUAAGCCUCGGCUAACUACGUGCCAGCAGCCGCGGUAAUACGUAGGGGGCAAGCGUUGUCCGGAUUUACUGGGUGUAAAGGGCGCGCAGGCGGGAUAAAAAGUCAGUGGUGAAAUCCUACAGCUUAACUGUAGAACUGCCUUUGAUACUUUUAUUCUUGAGUUCGGGAGAGAGAGACGGAAUUCCAGGUGUAGUGGUGAAAUACGUAGAUAUCUGGAAGAACACCAGUUGCGAAGGCGGUCUCUUGGUCCGACACUGACGCUGAGGCGCGAAAGCGUGGGGAGCAAACA
rnacentral:rRNA from 1 species